AUGCUAGAUGUCGGGCCUUAACCGGUUCGGUGUCGAAGUUAACGCGAUAAGCAUCCCGCCUUGGGGAGUACGUUCGCAAGGCUGAAACUCAAAGGAAUUGACGGGGGCCCGCACAAGCGGUGGAGUAUGUGGUUUAAUUCGAUGCAACGCGAAGAACCUUACCUGGACUUGACAUCCUGAGAAUCCUCUAGAAAUAGAGGAGUGCCCUUCGGGGAAUUCAGUGACAGGUGCUGCAUGGCUGUCGUCAGCUCGUCCCGUGAGGUGUUGGGUUAAGUCCCGCAACGAGCGCAACCCCUAUUGCUAGUUGCCAUCACAUAAUGGUGGGCACUCUAGUGAGACUGCCCGGGUCAACCGGGAGGAAGGUGGGGACGACGUCAAGUCAUCAUGGCCCUUACGUCCAGGGCUACACACGUACUACAAUGGUGGAUACAGAGGGUCGCGAAGCCGCGAGGUCGAGCCAAUCCCAGAAAAUCCAUCCCAGUCCGGAUCGCAGUCUGCAACUCGACUGUGUGAAGUUGGAAUCGCUAGUAAUCCCAGAUCAGCAUGCUGGGGUGAAUACGUUCCCGGGCCUUGUACACACCGCCCGUCACACCACGAAAGCUGGUUACACCCAAAAUAGACA
rnacentral:rRNA from 1 species